rnacentral:rRNA from 1 species
AGAGUUUGAUCCUGGCUCAGGAUGAACGCUAGCUACAGGCUUAACACAUGCAAGUCGAGGGGAAACGGCAUUGAGUGCUUGCACUCUUUGGACGUCGACCGGCGCACGGGUGAGUAACGCGUAUCCAACCUUCCCAUAACUAAGGGAUAACCUGCCGAAAGGCAGACUAAUACCUUAUGUAAUUCUUAGAUGACAUCAGAAGAGAAUGAAAGAUUUAUCGGUUAUGGAUGGGGAUGCGUCUGAUUAGCUUGUUGGCGGGGUAACAGCCCACCAAGGCGACGAUCAGUAGGGGUUCUGAGAGGAAGGUCCCCCACAUUGGAACUGAGACACGGUCCAAACUCCUACGGGAGGCAGCAGUGAGGAAUAUUGGUCAAUGGACGUAAGUCUGAACCAGCCAAGUAGCGUGCAGGAUGACGGCCCUAUGGGUUGUAAACUGCUUUUGUAUGGGGAUAAAGUCAAUCACGUGUGAUUGUUUGCAGGUACCAUACGAAUAAGGACCGGCUAAUUCCGUGCCAGCAGCCGCGGUAAUACGGAAGGUUCGGGCGUUAUCCGGAUUUAUUGGGUUUAAAGGGAGCGUAGGCCGGAGAUUAAGUGUGUUGUGAAAUGUAGACGCUCAACGUCUGACUUGCAGCGCAUACUGGUUUCCUUGAGUACGCACAACGUUGGCGGAAUUCGUCGUGUAGCGGUGAAAUGCUUAGAUAUGACGAAGAACUCCGAUUGCGAAGGCAGCUGACGGGAGCGCAACUGACGCUUAAGCUCGAAGGUGCGGGUAUCGAACAGGAUUAGAUACCCUGGUAGUCCGCACAGUAAACGAUGGAUGCCCGCUGUUGGUACCUGUUAUCAGCGGCUAAGCGAAAGCAUUAAGCAUCCCACCUGGGGAGUACGCCGGCAACGGUGAAAC